rnacentral:rRNA from 1 species
UACGGAGGGAGCUAGCGUUGUUCGGAAUUACUGGGCGUAAAGCGCGCGUAGGCGGUCCAUCAAGUCAGAGGUGAAAGCCCGGGGCUCAACCCCGGAACUGCCUUUGAAACUGGCGGACUAGAAUCUUGGAGAGGCGAGUGGAAUUCCGAGUGUAGAGGUGAAAUUCGUAGAUAUUCGGAGGAACACCAGUGGCGAAGGCGGCUCACUGGCUCGAUACUGACGCUGAGGUGCGAAAGCGUGGGGAGCAAACAGG